rnacentral:piRNA from 1 species
UCAUCUGUUCAGACACUCUGAGGCUGCUGC